rnacentral:rRNA from 1 species
GGAUCAUUACUGAGUUAUAAACUCCAAACCCAAUGUGAACAUUACCAAUGUUGCCUCGGCGGGGGGACCUACCCGGUACUUACCUGGUAGUAUCCUACCGUGUAGCGGCCUACCGUGUAGCGCGGUCUACCACGUCCUGCUGCAGGCUUGUCUGUCAAGUGGCACUAGCUACUGCAGAUUUGUCUGUUAGGCGGUCGCACGGGUGACCGGCACAGGUAGCCGCGGCACGGGUAAACCCGCCGGUGGACAGACCAAACUCUUGUCUUUUAGUGGCAUUCUGAGUAAAACAACAAAUAAGUUAAAACUUUCAACAACGGAUCUCUUGGUUCUGGCAUCGAUGAAGAACGCAGCGAAAUGCGAUAAGUAAUGUGAAUUGCAGAAUUCAGUGAAUCAUCGAAUCUUUGAACGCACAUUGCGCCCAUUAGUAUUCUAGUGGGCAUGCCUGUUCGAGCGUCAUUUCAACCCUCAAGCCUUGCUGCUUGGUAUUGGGAGCCUGUCGAGAGACAGCUCCUCAAAGCUAGUUGGCGGAGUUAUGGUUGACUCUAAGCGUAGUAAGUCUUUCUCGCUUCUGAAGUCGCCGUCGCUACAGCCGUAAGCCUUCUAUACUUCUAGUGGUUGACCUCGGAUCAGGUAAGAAUACCCGCUGAACUUAAGCAUAUCAAUAAGCGGAGGAAAAGAAACCAACAGGGAUUGCCCUAGUAACGGCGAGUGAAGCGGCAACAGCUCAAAUUUGAAAUCUGGCCUUCUGGUCCGAAUUGUAAUUUGUAGAGGAAUCAUUCGGCGAGUCCCCUUCUAAGUUCCCUGGAACGGGACGCCUUAGAGGGUGAGAGCCCCGUACAGUUGGCGGACGAGCCUUAUAAUGUUCCUUCGACGAGUCGAGUAGUUUGGGAAUGCUGCUCUAAAUGGGAGGUAAAUUUCUUCUAAAGCUAAAUACCGGCCAGAGACCGAUAGCGCACAAGUAGAGUGAUCGAAAGAUGAAAAGCACUUUGAAAAGAGGGUUAAAUAGCACGUGAAAUUGUUGAAAGGGAAGCGUUUGCGACCAGACUUUUGCCUGGCGGAUCAUCCGGUGUUCUCACUGGUGCACUUCGCCUGGUUUAGGCCAGCGUCGAUUUUCGGAGGGGGAUAAAGGCUUAGGGAAUGUGACUCCCCUCGGGGAGUGUUAUAGCCCUUUGCGUAAUACCCUUCUGGGGAUCGAGGU